rnacentral:rRNA from 1 species
GGCAACCCUGACGGAGCAACGCCGCGUGUGGGAGGACGGCCUUCGGGUUGUAAACCACUUUUCUCAGGGAAGAAGCUCUGACGGUACCUGAGGAAUCAGCCUCGGCUAACUCCGUGCCAGCAGCCGCGGUAAUACGGAGGAGGCAAGCGUUAUCCGGAAUUAUUGGGCGUAAAGCGUCCGCAGGUGGCGAUUCAAGUCUGCUGUCAAAGCACGGGGCUUAACUCCGUUAAGGCAGUGGAAACUGAAUGGCUAGAGUGCCGUAGGGGUAGAGGGAAUUCCCGGUGUAGCGGUGAAAUGCGUAGAGAUCGGGAAGAACAUCGGUGGCGAAAGCGCUCUACUGGACGGCAACUGACACUCAGGGACGAAAGCUAGGGGAGCG